rnacentral:rRNA from 1 species
ACGGAAGGCAGCAGUGGGGAAUAUUGGGCAAUGGGCGAAAGCCUGACCCAGCAACGCCGCGUGAAGGAAGAAGGUCUUCGGAUUGUAAACUUCUUUUAUGAGGGACGAAGGACGUGACGGUACCUCAUGAAUAAGCCACGGCUAACUACGUGCCAGCAGCCGCGGUAAUACGUAGGUGGCGAGCGUUAUCCGGAUUUACUGGGUGUGAAGGGCGCGUAGGCGGGGUUGCAAGUCAGAUGUGAAAUCUAUGGGCUUAACUCAUAAACUGCAUUUGAAACUGUAAUACUUGAGUGCUGGAGAGGUAGAUGGAAUUCCUUGUGUAGCGGUGAAAUGCGUAGAUAUAAGGAAGAACACCAGUGGCGAAGGCGAUCUACUGGACAGUAACUGACGCUGAGGCGCGAGAGCGUGGGGAGCAAACAGGAUUAGAUACCCUGGUA